GCACUGCUGAGGAGUCCCAUAAUAGGACGAAACGGCCGUCCAGUNN
rfam:Schistosoma rodhaini strain Burundi genome assembly, scaffold: SROB_scaffold0030514